rnacentral:rRNA from 1 species
UCAGGACGAACGCUGGCGGCGUGCUUAAUACAUGCAAGUCGAACGGAGCUUAGCUGAUAGUUACUAGAGGCGAAAGCUUAGUGGCGGACGGGUGAGUAACGCGUGGGUAAUCUGCCCCUAAGUCCGGGAUAACAGAGCGAAAGUUCUGCUAAGACGGGAUACUCUUUACCAGUUGCAUAACGGGUAAAGGAAAGGUAACGCUUAGGGGAUGAGCCCGCGUCCCAUUAGCUAGUUGGUGAGGUAACGGCUCACCAAGGCGACGAUGGGUAGCCGGCCUGAGAGGGUGGACGGCCACACUGGGACUGAGACACGGCCCAGACUCCUACGGGAGGCAGCAGUAGGGAAUUUUCCGCAAUGGGCGCCAAGCCUGACGGAGCAACGCCGCGUGAGGGACGAAGGUCUUCGGAUCGUAAACCUUUGUCAUCGAGGACGAUAAUGACGGUACUCGAGGAGGAAGCCCCGGCUAACUACGUGCCAGCCGCCGC